CAACAUUGGUGGUGGCACUUCCCAAACGAGCGGGUGGUGUAGUUGUGCGUGUAACGUAAAUAGCUUCACUUUGAGAAACCCGCUCCUUUGAGCGGGUUUUUUAUU
rfam:Idiomarina loihiensis L2TR, complete genome.